rnacentral:rRNA from 1 species
UCGGCGUUUCAAGAGGGGUCCGCGUCCUAUCAGCUAGUUGGUGAGGUAAUGGCUCACCAAGGCUAAGACGGGUAGCUGGCGUGAGAGCGCGGUCAGCCACCAUGGAACUGAGACACGGUCCAUACUCCUACGGGAGGCAGCAAUUAGGAAUUUUGCGCAAUGGGGGCAACCCUGACGCAGCGACACAGCGUGGAGGACGAAGGUCUUCGGAUUGUAAACUCCUUUUAUAUGGGACGAAUAGAUGACGGUACCAUAAGAAUAAGCACCUGCUAACUACGUGCCAGAAGCAUCGGUGAUACGUAGGGUGCGAACGUUAUCCGGAUUUAUUGGGCGUAAAGAGAUGCGUAGGCGUUUUUGUAAGUCUUUAGUUAAAGCCCACGGCUCAACCGUGGAAAAGCUGAGGAUACUGCAGAAAUUGAGACAGGAAGAGGCGAAUAGAAUUCCCAGUGGAGCGGUGAAAUGCGUUGAUAUUGGGAAGAAUAUCAGUGGCGAAGGCGAUU